CGCCGCGUGAGUGAUGAAGCCCCUCGGGGUGUAAAGCUCUUUCGACGGGAACGAUAAUGACGGUACCCGGAGAAGAAGCUGCGGCUAACUACGUGC
rnacentral:rRNA from 1 species